rnacentral:lncRNA from 1 species
AUGAGGCGAAGCAGCCGGAGCGUGGUGAGGCUGGAGGCGGAAUUCAUCGAAUCGGAGGAAACGGCCCCAAAAAGGAGCGGCGGUGAGGCCCCGCAAUGGGGCAGGGAGGGGGGGGCUCUUGUCGUUGCAGGCAUUGCUUGGCCACAAAGCACCCCGGAAUUCCGUGUGAUGGGGGCAGAUUUUGGGAUAAAAAAAAACGACGGAAAUGGUGAAUACGUAUUUUUUUGGGGGGAAAAAAAAAUAACAAAAAAAAAAAGGAAAAAAAAAAGGAAAAAAAUGAGAAUUCAACCCCAAAUCCAACGUCAUCACGCUCCGGCUGUAAAGUGUUGUAGGUACCGGUGGUGCGCCGCAGAGUGUAGCCUUGAACCGUCGGAUUUUGAGGGAAAAAAAGGCAAAAAAAAAAAAAAGAGGGUGUUGGCAGCAAGGGAUCUACGCACAGAUCAGUGAAAGCACCAAAACCGCAGGAAAUUGCCCCAAAACCGAGGCAGCGUGGACGCCCGACACGAAAAGGCAGAGAGAACCCGGCAGCAAAACCUCCCAAAAAAACGUGUAGGAAAGGGAGAAAAUAGGUAUUUGUGCUGUUUUUCACCCAAAUUGGAGAUGUGAACGGACUCGGGGCGAUGGCUUCAGAAAGGCGGUGUUUCACCCCGGGUGGGUCGUCCCCAUUCCAGCCCCAAUUUGACUCAAUUUCCCACCCAUUUCAAAAUGGAAAAGCGAACAGUGGCUGGAAAUGCCCCCAAAGUGGCUGAAAAUGCCCCCGAAAUGGCUGAAAAUGCCCCCAAAAAUGGCAGGAAUUGCCCCAAAAUGAGCAGCCCGCACGGCGAUGCGCAGCUCCGUGCCCUUCAGCGGGCAUCGCAGCGGAAGAAAUUGCUUUUUGGUGACAGCAGUGCUGUGCACUGAGGGGAGGGGGGGGAGGUUUGUGACCAUUUCCCAGUUUUUCUCCCCAAAACUGCAGUGGUGACGCGGGGUUUUGGGGAGGGGGAUGUGUUGUGUUGUGUUGUUUUUUUUUUCUCCCCCCCCCCCCCCNNNNNNNNNNNNNNNNNNNNNNNNNNNNNNNNNNNNNNNCCUCCCCACUCUCCAUUGAGGCAGCGCCGCAGCGACAUAAAACGGCCUCAAAUUGGCCCAAAGAGGAGCAUUGCUAAAAAUGACUAAAAAUUAGAAAAACAAACAAUCAAACAAACAAACAAAAACCCCAAAAAGAGCACAAAACCCCUUAAAAAAGAGGCAGGAAAAAACCCAAGUGAGCUGAGUAAGUACCAGCGGCCGGCCCCAAACCCCGCUUCGUCAGCUCGGUGCGCGCCGGGGAGAUGAACCCGACCCCAAAAUGCUGCUUUCUGUGUCCUUUUUCUCUGUUGUUUUUCUUUUUUUUUUUUGCUCCGGCCCCAAAAAGCCGCUUUCUGAGCCCAUUCUGUGCUGGGGCAGCAUGACGCUCCCAAAACGAACGCAC